CCCUUCCAGGAAUAAAGAAAUUCGGGAGAAAGAAGGAGAAGGGUAUCUCUGGGGGCAGAGACUGAAGCUGAGUUACAAGAGCUCAGCCUCAAGACACUAGCUGCAUAGGUGUCAUCUCUAUUCAGGGACCUCUCACAGCCCUUUCUUUACCAGACAGCUCUUACGUCCAGAUGAAGAGAAAGAAGGUCAUUCCUGUCCUCCAUCUGAAUAUUGCUCCCUUUGUUUGAUCCUGACAGAGA
rnacentral:lncRNA from 1 species